UAUGUUGGAGCCUUGUGCUCAUAAGAUGGUGGUGGAGGUGAUUUAUACUCAUAGGGUGGUGGGGGUGAUGGUGAAGGAGGUGGGGGAGACUUAUAUUCAUAAGAUGGAGACUUGUGCUCAUAGGGUGGAGGUGGUGGAGAUUUGUAAAUGUAAGAUGGUGGAGGUGACGGUGAGGGAGGCGGUGGUGACUUGUAAAUGUAAGGUGGUGGUGGUGAUGGUGAUGGUGGUGGGGGUGACUUGUACUGGUAAGAUGGAGCCUUGUGCUCAUAUGGUGGUGGAGGUGACGGUGAUGGAGGUGGUGGUGACUUGUAAAUGUAAGGUGGUGGAGGUGAUGGUGAUGGAGGUGGGGGUGACUUGUACUGGUAAGAUGGUGCCUUGUGCUCAUAUGGAGGCGGUGGUGACG
rnacentral:lncRNA from 1 species